AUUGAACGCUGGCGGCAGGCCUAACACAUGCAAGUCGAGCGGAUGAAGAGAGCUUGCUCUCUGAUUCAGCGGCGGACGGGUGAGUAAUGCCUAGGAAUCUGCCUGGUAGUGGGGGACAACGUCUCGAAAGGGACGCUAAUACCGCAUACGUCCUACGGGAGAAAGCAGGGGACCUUCGGGCCUUGCGCUAUCAGAUGAGCCUAGGUCGGAUUAGCUAGUUGGUGAGGUAAUGGCUCACCAAGGCGACGAUCCGUAACUGGUCUGAGAGGAUGAUCAGUCACACUGGAACUGAGACACGGUCCAGACUCCUACGGGAGGCAGCAGUGGGGAAUAUUGGACAAUGGGCGAAAGCCUGAUCCAGCCAUGCCGCGUGUGUGAAGAAGGUCUUCGGAUUGUAAAGCACUUUAAGUUGGGAGGAAGGGCAUUAACCUAAUACGUUAGUGUUUUGACGUUACCGACAGAAUAAGCACCGGCUAACUCUGUG
rnacentral:rRNA from 1 species